rnacentral:hammerhead_ribozyme from 1 species
AUCCAACUGACGAGUUCCAAAUGGGACGAAACAUGCGUCCUGGAU